CAGAUUGAAUAUACCCGAUCUCGUCUGAUCUCGGAAGUCAAGCAAUCUCGGGCUUGGUUAGUACUUGGAUGGGUGACCGCUUGGGAAUACCAAGUGUGAUAAGCA
rnacentral:rRNA from 1 species